rnacentral:lncRNA from 1 species
CGGGGGGUACCCUCGCAAUACGGGUGAGUGGUGGUUCGGCUGUCCGGACAACCAGGGGUCCAUCCACCAGCAGCAGCCGGCCGCCAGCCAGCAGCGGGGAGACAUUUCGGCCGACGAGACAUACCGAGACACAGUUAUAGGGUACGGCGAGGGCGACACGCAGCCGCGGUACGGCGGCUCGGCGGGACUCACACGGCCGUCUGAGGUGCUCGCCAGCCUGCUGCCGCCGCUGCUGGCAGUUCUGGCAGCGAGGCAGCUCUGAGACGGCUGUAUGUGGGUGACACAGCAGCCUGCUGCUGCCGCUGCUGGCAGUCCUGGCAGCGAGGCAGCUCUGAGAAGGCUGUAUGUGGGUGACACUGCUACAGCCGCCACAGCUACCUCGGUACCAGCGCCGGCCGAAUGUAUCAGCAGCCCGCGACCGGCCGGACAGACGCAUACCCCCCGUGAUCCGUUCAGAAGCAGCUACUGCAGAGAACAACCGUCAGUCCUCGACAGGAUGAGCUACUGACCACAAAUUUCAACGGUUCAGGCGCUACAGGUUUCACCCAUCACCACCUGAGGGACAGUGCGUGUCCAUGUGACCUUCGAUGGGUUCUGACACCUCCUGCUGUGGUCACCGAGAUGAUGUUACCGGCGUGUUUUCCGCUAGUAUCCCCCGGCUAUAGGUCAGCACAGCCGCGGGCCGCCGGCAGCGACGGACCACUCGGAAAGCACGCGCCCGGGGCGGAGGAUGGCGCGCCGGGGACUGAGCCGCCCCGGGUCGGGGUCAGGGUCAGAGCGGGACGGUCAGAUACCGACCGAUCGGUGGUCAGGAUCCGGGAGUCCCAGGACGGCCGUGUCAAGGUCUGAAGGAGUCGGUCUGGAUAUCACUGGGGUACAUAAUGAUUAGGGCAAGUUGUUCGCAAAGCAGAACGGCGCGGUGUCAUUAUUCAUACAACGGGGUUAGCCCACGCACUUGGUCGGUGUGUUACGGCAGUGCUUGGUGGGCCUUGAGUUUCCGUAACUUGUGUUUCAUUUCAUGUUCUGUAUAAGUAUGCUGGGAACAGUUUUGCUCUGGAAUUUUAUGUUAUUUAUUUCAAGCGAUGGAGGCGCUCCUGUUUAGUCCUCAGCAGUUCAGCUAAAUGGCCAGGGAAGGGGAGCAGUCAGCACAGACUGACUGAGCCUGUUAUGUAUGCCUUAUAUAGUCGCACAGCUCUGUGAUAGCCAAGUGCCUCACCGUCGGACGUCCAGUGUUGUUUGUGCCGUAUGUGUAAAGUACACCUACAUAACGUGGCAGCGGACACGGUGCCUUGCUGUGUUGCAUUGAUACCCUUCCUAUUGAUGCAAAACACUAAAAUAUAAUGCGUGCGAUUAACGUCGGGUGCGAGGUUUGUGGCACAGUCGCCUGAGUCAUGCCCACCUGAAAUAAUUAAACAUUAUAUUUUGUUUAUACUGAUUGCAUUGCAGCUAUAAGUACGGCUAUCGCCUCGUUUAUACAUACUAAGCAAAUAGACAGACUGAUGCCAUUUCAGCUUGUAUACUGCUUCUGGUGUUAAGGCAUACAUGUGCGUACUUUAACCUAUUAUUACGUUAACCUGACGUGUUAAAAUGGUGAUGUUUGUUGUUAUGUCGAUUCACCAAAUAUAUUUAGUGUCAGUUACUACAAA